GCGGCGGCCGAGGCGGCGGCGGCGGCGCUGGCUCUUGUCACCCGGCAGCGGGAGCGCCAGGACCAAGCGUCUUUAGGGUGGGAACGCAGGAGAAUUUUAUGCCACGUGGGAAUGGCCAUACAGGACUGCGAUCUGACGUCCUUGGGAGUACCUCGCCAAAGUGAUGAUUCCUAGACCUAAAUUACAAGAGAGUAAAGGAAUGGACAACGCAUCCAGCAGCGUGGCAAAUUCAGAUGGCCCGGCAAGAGUGGAGAGGACUGUGAGAAAAGGGCAAUUUGCUUUGAAAUUCCCAUCUCCCUUUCCAGAAAUGGAGAGAAGACUAUGCACUCCUCUGUACAAGUUGGCUUCUCCUCAUGAUCACGAGAUCAAUGCUUCUAUUACAACAGUCACAUGAAAAAAAUCCAAUGUAAGAAGAGGCACCAUUCUUCAGGUUUUGAUACCAAGGAAACUCUGUAGUAAACAUUCUGUUGGCAAAAUUUCCCUUCAGAGCCUGCCUCCUAGGAAACCCA